rnacentral:rRNA from 1 species
UACGGGGGGGGCAAGCGUUGUUCGGACUUACUGGGCGUAAAGGGCCAGUAGGCGGCCAACUAAGUCGGAUGUGAAAUCCCCAGGCUUAACCUGGGAACUGCAUCCGAUACUGGAUGGCUUGAAUUCGGGAGAGGGAUGCAGAAUUCCAGGUGUAGCGGUGAAAUGCGUAGAUAUCUGGAGGAAUACCGGUGGCGAAGGCGGCAUCCUGGACCGACAUUGACGCUGAACGGCGAAAGCUAGGGGAGCAAACGGG